AUUUUGAUGGCGACCGGCGGACGGGUGCGUUACACGUAUGUAACCUACCUUUUUCUAGAAAAUAGCCUGAGGAAACUCGGAUUAAUAUUCUAUAAUACAGUAUUUUCGCAUGAAAAUAUUAUUAAAGCAGAAAUGUGGGAAAAGAUGGGCAUGCGCCCGAUUAGUUAGUUGGUGGGGUAAAGGCCUACCAAGACGAUGAUCGGUAGGGGGCCUGAGAGGGUGAUCCCCCACACUGGUACUGAGAUACGGACCAGACUCCUACGGGAGGCAGCAGUGAGGAAUAUUGGUCAAUGGAGGAAACUCUGAACCAGCCACGCCGCGUGCAGGAAGAAUGCCUUAUGGGUUGUAAACUGCUUUUGUUUAGGAAUAAAAAUUUCUACGUGAUAGAAAUUGUGAAGGUACUAAACGAAUAAGUGUCGGCAAACUCCGUGCCAGCAGCCGCGGUAAUACGGAGGACACAAGCGUUAUCCGGAUUUAUUGGGUUUAAAGAGUGCGUAGGCGGUUUAUUAAGUCAGUAGUGAAAUGUUACAGCUUAACUGUUAAAAUGGCUAAUGAUACUGAUAGACUUGAGUGAGAUUGGAGUAAUUGGAAUGUGUGGUGUAGCGGUGAAAUGCAUAGAGAUCACACAGAACACCGAUCGCGAAAGCAGGUUACUAAAUCUAUACUGACGCUGAGGCACGAAAGCGUGGGGAGCAAACAGGAUUAGAUACCCUGGUAGUCCACGCCGUAAACGAUGAUCACUAGUCGUUGGAUUUUAUUAUUCAGUGGCUAAGCGAAAGUGAUAAGUGAUCCACCUGGGGAGUACGAUCGCAAGGUUGAAACUCAAAGGAAUUGACGGGGGCCCGCACAAGCGGUGGAGCAUGUGGUUUAAUUCGAUGAUACGCGAGGAACCUUACCAAGGUUUAAAUGUACUACGAAUAAGCUAGAAAUAGUUUAGUCUUCGGACGGAGUACAAGAUGCUGCAUGGUUGUCGUCAGCUCGUGCCGUGAGGUGUUGGGUUAAGUCCCUCAACGAGCGCAACCCUCAUUGUUAGUUGCCAACGAAUAAUGUCGGGGACUCUAGCAAGACUGCCGACGUAAGUCGAGAGGAAGGUGGGGACGACGUCAAAUCAUCACGGCUCUUAUACCUUGGGCUACACACGUGCUACAAUGGUCGGUACAAAGGGUUGCUA
rnacentral:rRNA from 1 species